GACAGCCCCAAGUUUGAAACCU
rnacentral:miRNA from 1 species